UAGAGUUUUUAACUCCCAAACCCAUGUGAACUUACCAGUUUGUUGCCUCGGCAGGCCUCCGUCUCUCGCCUUCGGGCGGUGCGGAUACCACAGGUCUGCCGGCGGUCCCAUUCAACUCUGAAUUACAUUGUAAAUCUGAGCGUUUAAAACAAAUAAAUCA
rnacentral:misc_RNA from 1 species